GGAGAUGAUGAUGGACGGAUACACAGCCUCCCUCAAGGAGGGGUGGAUCGUGACGAUUUUGUGGUGCCGUUCGAUCACCGGAACAGAAGCACUCUGGUGGUGGGUCGUCAUGAUCACGAGGCAAACUUGAAAUUACCGUUGUACACUAACCCAUAUUCUAAGUUCCUAGCAGAACGCUACAACAGAACAAAACGGAGAAUAAUCGUACUUUACCCAAAUUCCCAUUUCCGUCAACCUUCAUCCCACCUUCAAUUUAACAUGUCAUCCUCAUUUCCCAAACUCCAUUUCCGCCAAGCAAAACAACGGAUCCGGCAGACCCGUCAGCAGCACCACCACAACCAGCAGCAGCAAGCCAUCUUGGUCAGUCGGCUGAUCCACUCAGCUUUCACCGAGAAGCUCAAACCCCAACUUCACCAGUCCCGAGGAGCAUGCCUAUAACGACACUAUCAAGGAGGGGCUGCAGCGCCCCCACAACCAGCAGCAGCAAGCCAUCUUGGUCACUCGGCUGAUCCACUCACCUUUCACUGAGAAGCUCAAACCCCACCUCCACGGGUCCAGAGGAGCAUGCCGAUAACGACGCAAUCAAGGAGGGCUGCAGCACCACCACAACCAGCAGCAGCAAGCCAUCUUGGUCACUCGGCUGAUCCACUCAGCUUUUUCCGAGAAGCUCAAACCCCACCUUCACGCGUCCCGAGGAGCAUGCCAAUAACGACGCUAGGAGGGGCUGCGGCCGCUUGAUGUGGAAAUUAUUUCUCAUCUGGGAGCUGGUGAGCGGAUACUCAGCAUGAAUUCGGUCAUAUCAAAACAUAAUAUCCUCGGAUUUUAAUCACAGUUACUCUUUUUUUUUCUUCUGAUGAACCCCAAACGCACGAAUUCGGUCAUAUCAAAACACAGUAGCCUCGUAUUUUAUUUGCAGUUAUGCUUUUUUCUUCUGAACUCAGAAUGUACUUUUGGUCUUAUUGAAAACAUAAUGGCCUCAUAUUUUAAUUUUUCAGUUACCGUUUUUCCUUAUGAACUAAAAGGGUUCAGAUUUUAAUUUUCCGAACUCAAAACACACAAAUUUGAUCUUAUCAGCUACUAAUUUUCUUAUAUACUCAAAAUGCACAGAUUCAAUCUAAUCGAAACUUCUUCCCUCUUCU
rnacentral:lncRNA from 1 species